CUAUUCUUAUCUUUCCUUUCUUUGAUAAAGGAAUGGUUGAGAGUGAAUUGUCAAGACAAAGCCAUAGAGUAUGGUUCAAUCAAUGCUAACCACCCUCAAAUAAAACACUAUCUACUAAUCUCCUAGAUUAAACGAAUGAACAAACAAACAAACAAACAAAAAAACCCAACCUUGGAAAAGGAAGGUAUGUAGCAAAGAUAUAAAUAGGCAUCUACCUAAGAUUAUAAUGUUCUGAGUUCUUAAAGGCAUUCUUGUGAAGAAAACAUGAGCUUGGAUGACAUGAUGAUGAAGUAGACAAGAUUUAUAUCUACCGUAUUCCCAUAUCCCCUCAAUUUUGAGUCCAGAUCUGAGACUCCCACAGGUAUAAAAAUGUGCAGGGGAGUGAUCUAGCUUCCCAAAAUUCAAAAAACACAAUAGCCAAUCUAGGAUGACAUCUUUCCUAACUUUCCCUAAAAGUCUAGACAUGGUCUCAUAGGAGUGACACCAGUUGUUGUAGGCCCGAGGGCAAAACCACAUUUGGAUUUUAUUGCUAAGAUGCUUCAGGACAGAAUUUGUUCUGGUCAGGCUGAAAUAAGAAAAGGAAUUAAUACUAAGGAGUUGGAAGAGUGUAACUGAGCUUGCGUCUAAGGAAAACAAAUACAUUCCGGAGAGACUAAAAGAUGCUAAUUUUCUUGAUGAAAUGAGGCGUGGGACCUAAUCCCCUUUUCAGCCAGGUUUAUCACAUAGAGGUAGGUGUGUGUGUGUUGGGGGGGUGGUGUAUGUAUUGUCUUUUCUAGAAACCUCUUUCUUUUAUUUUUUGAGGUUAAUUAAAACCACAUUUGAUAAUAUGAAAAUAGCUCUAACUAUGAUGGUUUUCAUCAAUGUAGGGCCUUUCAAGUAUUCUCCUGGCACUCUGAGACUAAAGGUGUCAUGAUCGCCCUAAGCCAUUUGGAAAUUGUCGUGGCAAAUUGUGCGGGAAAAAUGGAGACAAGCUAACUAUAUAUGAGAAGAAUGAGUAAUAAACCAUGGCUUAGUCAUUCAAUGGAAUACUACAUCUAGUUCAACUGAAUGAAAAUAAUCUCCAUGGAUCAACAUGGAUUUUCAUAUGGUCAAAAUACCCACGGAAUAUAUGAGUGGCAGCAGUAAACAGUCCUUGAAGUUCUUGGUUGUUUAACUUGACUGUUGGUGAUGCCCAGUGAGGCCCUGUCUGCUCCAAGCAAAUUACAUAAAAAAGAUGUGAAUAAAAACUCAUCAAAUACUAACAGAGAAGCCCCUGCUGGUGUUGGCCCUGUCUUGGUUGUGUCUGGCAAAUGAAUCUGCAUCCUUCUCCACGUGGAUUUAACUAUCAUACCAGUUACAGACUAUCAGUUGAGAAGACACUGGAUAGAACCAGCCUGUUUAUUCCUGAAUGUAUAUUUUUGGCUGCGGGAAUUAGUCAUAACAGAGGAAGGUACAGAACACCUCCCAAUAUGAUAGAUCUAUUUGCUCAUCAGCCCAAAUCCUGGACCUUGAAGUGGUAAUGAAUGAGUCUGCCUCUGCCCUGAAUUUAAAAAUCUCAGCUCUCUCUUUUCCAAUUAAAUUAAGAUUUAGAAAGAUAAUGCUUCCUCUCUUGGGAGCAUUUGGGCAUUUUCCAAGGAAACAGAGAGAGGGUUGUCAAAGGGGAUUUGCUGACAAUGACAUGAGAAGAAGGCGAUGACAAAGAAAGACUGAAGGUCUCAGACUUCGGGAUGGGGUCGAAGCUGUCUCACCUGGUUAGGAACUGUCACCAUGCAAGUGAAGGGUGGAAUUUGGCUUUUAGAAUACAUUUCCAUUAGCCCUGGAGUUUGACAGCUAGCUCCUGAUGGCAGCAAAGCAUGUGAGGCCUCCCAGUCGGCAAGGCUGAUCUCUGACUAAUGGGGAAAAAUUACCCAAUAAGAAUUAGCAAUCUUACAUCACUGAUCAGAAUCCUUACAUUGCCCUUCAUGUGGGGAAAAGAAUGAGACUUUCAAAAGGAGUUGGACUGGUUUUAACAUGGCCUGUUGGUCACUGAGACAGGAAACAUUUAACAUGAAUUAGAUGCAUUUGGAAUUUGUUUGACUUAUCUUGAGCCUAAGGUUUCCAGGUAUUAGUGGUAUUGAGCACUCAUUUAGUACUUUUACGUAUUUUUUAGAAAGUGCCCUCUCAUUAUUUCUAGGUAGAUACAAUUGGCCGUUUGAUCUUGUUCUUUAUUUGUACCAGAUUUUUUCAACUUAACACUUUUGGAGAAGUGGAAGCUCUUGAGUGUUAAACUAAGAAAACCAGUGUUGGAUGAGUGUCCCAAAAGAGAACAGUGUUGUUAUCAUAGGCUGAAUUGAUCCCAGAUGGAUUCUGGAAUGAAAGGAUUAACAAUGAUGUAAAAAUGGCCUGAGCACGUGAUAGUAUACAAUACUGAGUCUUUGAAAGUAAGCUUGGCCACAGCCACGUGUGUCUUCAGAGUUGGAGGUUAGAUACCAUUUACUUUGGACUUUGGAUAGCAUAUAGUGGUCAGAAUGAUUUAAAAAUGUUAAGUUAGGCUGGUGUUGAAAGAUGGCAUAAUUUGAGAACAGAUACAGCAAAACAAGGCAAUGAACUUGCCUUCCUCAUAAAUGAUGUCAGCAGUGAGAAGCUGAGGGCCAUGGGCCAGGACAGAGGAGACUUAGCUUCUUUUUCUUGUCUUCUUAGAUUGUGUUGAGAAAUCCUGCUCUUGAGCAUGUGCUACUGUGUCUUUUGGAAGACAAUAAUAGCUGGGCAGAGGAAAAUGUUGUUGUGGCUUUUUGACCCCUCUCUGACCAGGACAACAAAUAUAAUGACGAUAAUAAAAAUACCCAGAGCACAUCCUUAUUUAUCUCUUCAUGGGAAGUCAUAAGACUGAAAGGGGCUUUUAUUUAGUGGGUUCUACCAGUGGGAAGAUAUUCAGACAACACUGAACCCACACGUUUGACUCUGGACCAGAGGCUGCAUGUCUGACCCCAGGUAGGUAUCCUGAGCAGACUGCAUGGUUAGAUGGAAUGAUCUCUUCUCUAUUGUCUUUUAAGGGGUAUGUGAUCUGUAUACUUACAAUGAACUUUUCAAGACACAGGCUACAAAAUGCACUGGCUAAGAAAUGACUAGGAACCAAGGGCAGAAUGGGGAUAAAGUGAAUUCCAGCAAAAUGCUGUCCCUUCAAUAAGUCUUACUGGAAGGCCCAAGUGGCCAACUGGAACACCUCCAUGGGAUACAGCAAGUAUGGGGCUUUGGGAAAACACACACACACGCGCACACACACACACACACACACGGCCUACUUUAGCACAGACCCAGCCAUUUGUGAAUCAAGAUUUCUUGGGGGAGAUUUCUGAGUCUGAGACUAGUGGUUCAUUAUGCUAACCAGGUUGCACACUAGAAUAAUCUGGGAAUAUU